AGAGUUGGCUGAGCAGUCGCCGUUUUAUUGUAAUGAUAGAAGGGAGGAAAGUCCGGGCUUCAUUGGGCAGGGUGCUAGGUAAUACCUAGGAGGCGUGAGCCUACGACAAGUGCCACAGAAAAUAUACCGCCUAUCGUAAGACAGGUAAGGGUGAAAUGGUGCGGUAAGAGCGCACCGCGCA
rnacentral:RNase_P_RNA from 1 species